AACAGUAAUGAUAUUUUCUAAAUUUAUUUAAUAUUUUUUAAUAAAUAUAUUGGACUAAUAGUGUUAUUAGAAAUUUAGAUUUCAUAAGCAGACAAUCAAAUAUCAUACCAAUCAGAUCAAAACUAUCACGUUGAUUAAAGUUUGAAUAAUGGUUUGGAAAGAUAUUCAUAUUUAAGGUUCAAUAGGUUUUAAAUAGAAUAAUUUCAAAUGGAGAAAAUUUAUGUAGAGAAAAAGGUUCGAUGUAGCUCUAUGAAACAUGUAGCUAAUUAUCUCAAUUUUCAUGAGCUUAUCUGUGUGUGCGGACUCAAGGCUAAAUUUGGGUGUUUUAAGGCAUAUGAUUUCAUAG
rnacentral:lncRNA from 1 species